rnacentral:misc_RNA from 1 species
CAGUAUUGACUGCUUUUGUAGUCUCGUACUCUCAACCACUGUGCAUUGUUUCGUGGCGCUCGCGUCACCACAUUUCACCAACUGAUUGAGUACACACACACAUAUAAUACGCAUA